rnacentral:rRNA from 1 species
GACGAACGCUGGCGGCGUGCUUAACGCAUGCAAGUCGAACGGAAAGGCCCUGCUUGCAGGGUGCUCGAGUGGCGAACGGGUGAGUAACACGUGGGUGAUCUGCCCUGCACUUCGGGAUAAGCCUGGGAAACGGGGUCUAAUACCGGAUAGGAGCUAUGUUUAGUGUGAUGGUUGGAGAGAUUUUUUGGUGUAGGAUGAGCUCGCGGCCUAUCAGCUUGUUGGUGGGGUGAUGGGCUACCAACGCGGCGCCGGGUAGCCGGCCUGGGGGGGUGGACGGCCAAAAUGGGACUGAGGACCGGCCCAGACUCCGACCGGAGGCAACAGGGGGGAAUAAUGCACAAUGGGCGGAAGCCUGAUGCAGGCACGGCGCGUGGGGGAUGACGGGCUUCCGGUUGGAAAAUCCCUUCGCUAGGGACGAAGCUUUUUGUGACGGUACCUAGAGAAGAAGCACCGGCUAACUACGUG